GACGAACGCUGGCGGCGUGCUUAACACAUGCAAGUCGAGCGGUAAGGCCCUUUCGGGGGUACACGAGCGGCGAACGGGUGAGUAACACGUGGGUGACCUGCCCUCAGCUCUGGGAUAAGCCUGGGAAACCGGGUCUAAUACUGGAUAUGACUCCAUGACGCAUGUUGUGGGGUGGAAAGCCUUGUGCGGCUGAGGAUGGGCCCGCGGCCUAUCAGCUUGUUGGUGGGGNGAUGGCCUACCAAGGCGACGACGGGUAGCCGGCCUGAGAGGGCGACCGGCCACACUGGGACUGAGACACGGCCCAGACUCCUACGGGAGGCAGCAGUGGGGAAUCUUGCGCAAUGGGCGAAAAGCCUGACGCAGCGACGCCGCGUGAGGGAUGACGGCCU
rnacentral:rRNA from 1 species